rnacentral:rRNA from 1 species
UACGUAGGCAGCAAGCGUUGUUCGGAGUUACUGGGCGUAAAGGGUGUGUAGGCGGUUGUUUAAGUUUGGUGUGAAAUCUCCCGGCUCAACUGGGAGGGUGCGCCGAAUACUGAAUGACUAGAGUGCGGGAGAGGAAAGUGGAAUUCCUGGUGUAGCGGUGAAAUGCGUAGAGAUCCGGAAGAACACCGGUGGCGAAGGCGGCCUGCUGGGCAGUUUUGCUGACACUGAGGCGCGACAGCGUGGGGAGCAAACAGG